rnacentral:rRNA from 1 species
AGUUGUUGGAGUUAAAGCUCGUAGUUGGAUUUCGGGUGGGCUACGCCGGUCUCCUAACGGUUGUACUGGCGACGCCCGCCUUGCUGCCGGGGACGGGCUCCCGCCUUCAUUGUCGGGACCCGGAAUCGGCGACGUUACUUUGAGUAAAUUAGAGUGUUCAAAGCAAGCCUACGCUCUGAAUAUAAUAGCAUGGGAUAACACGACAGGACUCUGGCCUAUCGUGUUGGUCUGUAGGACCAGAGUAAUGAUUAAGAGGGACAGUCGGGGGCAUCCGUAUUCCGUUGUCAGAGGUGAAAUUCUUGGAUUUACGGAAGACGAACAUCUGCGAAAGCAUUUGCCAAGGAUGUUUUCAUUGAUCAAGAACGAAAGUUAGGGGCUUGAAGACGAUUAGAUACCGUCGUAAUCCUAACCAUAAACGAUGCCGACUAGGGAUUGGCGGAAGUUCUUUUGAUGACUCCGCCAGCACCUCAUGAGAAAUCAAAGUUUUUGGGUUCCGGGGGGAGUAUGGUCGCAAGGCUGAAACUUAAAGGAAUUGACGGAAGGGCACCACCAGGCGUAAACUAUAGCCGCCAUCAGAAACACAUUGUUUCAUAGGCUCUGCGCCAGUCGAGGUGUGAAUUUGCCCAUUCACUUGAAGCGCCUCGGCUAGUCACUGUGGCAUGAAGCGCAACUACAGUGGCGACAUCAUCGAAUUGCUGGAAACCCCUAAAGCUCUGCAUACCAAGCGCUCGUUGAAAGACAAGUGCGGCUNCCAUUCANGGAGAGGUGAUAAGUGCCGAGAUGAGACAAUGGGCAAUCAGCAGCGAAGCUCCCUUCUAUAAAGAUGGAGAACGUUCAGAGACUUAGCGGUGAUGGGCUCUUUGCAGCUUAAGAUAUAGUUCAAGCCCCAGCGAAAGCUGAUGCAGAGAUGAGAGGGAGCGCAACCCCAGAGCUCUGCAGUAGGGAUAUACAAGACAGCCUCUUGUUUAUCAUAAACAGGGAGCCUGCGGCUUAAUUUGACUCAACACGGGAAAACUUACCAGGUCCAGACAUGCGAAGGAUUGACAGAUUGAAAGCUCUCUUCUUGAUUGUAUGGGUGAACACCACUGCCCAAGACAGUGCGGCGAAAGCCUGCGCUAGUCAAACCCUGUCCGCUAUYGCAAGGGCAGGGCUAGGCAAGACCGUUGAAUUGCGGGAAACUCCUAAAGCUCACAACACCACGGCGCUYGGGCAACCAAGUGCUGGCCAGGGUAAUGACCUYGGAUGGUAAAAGCUUGUGAGAUGUACARUGGACGAUCCGCAGCCMAGCUUYCAWUUUGAACAAGUUCAAAAGGAAGAAGGUUCAGAGACUAGGUGGCGGUCGGCCUGCUAAGUGAGCAGGCUUAAGAUAUAGUCCGGCUCUACCGAAAGGUAGCCGCGGGAUGAAAGGUGCUAGCWWGCGCCCAGAGCCCGCGGGAGUAGAUACCACUAUGUC